rnacentral:rRNA from 1 species
AAACCAGCACCUCAAGUGGUCAGGAUGAUUAUUGGGCCUAAAGCAUCCGUAGCCUGUUCUGUAAGUUUCCGGUUAAAUCCAUUAGCUCAACUAAUGGGCCGCCGAAAAUACUGCAAAACUAGGGAGUGGGAGAGGUAGACGGUACUCGGUAGGAAGGGGUAAAAUCCUUUGAUCUAUUGAUGACCACCUGUGGCGAAGGCGGUCUACCAGAACACGUUCGACGGUGAGGGAUGAAAGCUGGGGGAGCAAACCGGAUUAGAAACCCGUGUAGUCC